rnacentral:rRNA from 1 species
AUUGAACGCUGGCGGCAGGCUUAACACAUGCAAGUCGAGCGGGGGAAGGUAGCUUGCUACCGGACCUAGCGGCGGACGGGUGAGUAAUGCUUAGGAAUCUGCCUAUUAGUGGGGGACAACAUCUCGAAAGGGAUGCUAAUACCGCAUACGUCCUACGGGAGAAAGCAGGGGAUCUUCGGACCUUGCGCUAAUAGAUGAGCCUAAGUCGGAUUAGCUAGUUGGUGGGUAAAGGCCUACCAAGGCGACGAUCUGUAGCGGGUCUGAGAGGAUGAUCCGCCACACUGGGACUGAGACACGGCCCAGACUCCUACGGGAGGCAGCAGUGGGGAAUAUUGGACAAUGGGGGGAGCCCUGAUCCAGCCAUGCCGCGUGUGUGAAGAAGGCCUUAUGGUUGUAAAGCACUUUAAGCGAGGAGGAGGCUACUCUAGUUAAUACCUAGGGAUAGUGGACGUUACUCGCAGAAUAAGCACCGGCUAACUCUGUGCCAGCCGCCGCCGUAA